AGAGUUUGAUCAUGGCUCAGAUUGAACGCUGGCGGCAGGCCUAACACAUGCAAGUCGAACGGUAACAGGAUUAGCUUGCUAAUCGCUGACGAGUGGCGGACGGGUGAGUAAUGCUUGGGAACUUGCCUUUGCGAGGGGGAUAACAGUUGGAAACGACUGCUAAUACCGCAUAAUGUCUACGGACCAAACGGGGCUUCGGCUCCGGCGCAAAGAGAGGCCCAAGUGAGAUUAGCUAGUUGGUAAGGUAAAGGCUUACCAAGGCAACGAUCUCUAGCUGUUCUGAGAGGAAGAUCAGCCACACUGGAACUGAGACACGGUCCAGACUCCUACGGGAGGCAGCAGUGGGGAAUAUUGCACAAUGGGGGAAACCCUGAUGCAGCCAUGCCGCGUGUGUGAAGAAGGCCUUCGGGUUGUAAAGCACUUUCAGUUGUGAGGAAAAGUUAGUAGUUAAUACCUGCUAGCCGUGACGUUAACAACAGAAGAAGCACCGGCUAACUCCGUGCCAGCAGCCGCGGUAAUACGGAGGGUGCGAGCGUUAAUCGGAAUUACUGGGCGUAAAGCGCACGCAGGCGGUUUGUUAAGCUAGAUGUGAAAGCCCCGGGCUCAACCUGGGAUGGUCAUUUAGAACUGGCAGACUAGAGUCUUGGAGAGGGGAGUGGAAUUCCAGGUGUAGCGGUGAAAUGCGUAGAUAUCUGGAGGAACAUCAGUGGCGAAGGCGACUCCCUGGCCAAAGACUGACGCUCAUGUGCGAAAGUGUGGGUAGCGAACAGGAUUAGAUACCCUGGUAG
rnacentral:rRNA from 1 species